GUACACGCUGUGACUAGCAUAUCAAUAAGCGGAGGAAAAGAAACUAACAAGGAUUCCCCUAGUAACGGCGAGUGAAGCGGGAAGAGCUCAAAUUUGAAAUCUUAGAGGGUUUCCCUUUACGAAUUGUAGUUUAAAGAAGUGUUUUCUGUUGAGGUUUUGGUAAAAGUUCUUUGGAAUAGGACAUCAUAGAGGGUGAGAAUCCCGUAUUUGACCUUUACUUUCAACUUUGUGAUAACACUUUCAAAGAGUCGGGAUUGUUUGGGAAUGCAGUCCAAAAUGGGUGGUAAAUUUCAUCUAAAGCUAAAUAUUGGCGAGAGACCGAUAGCGAACAAGUACCGUGAGGGAAAGAUGAAAAGAACUUUGAAAAGAGAGUUAAACAGUACGUGAAAUUGUCAAAAGGGAAGCGUUUGACACCAGUGUUGUUUUUCUGAAAAUCAAUUAAAGAACUGUUUAUGCUAAGUUGUUUAGACUUUAUCAGCUAACUGUUUAGUCUUGAGCUUUUCUUUAAUGCAGCUUUUCAGUUAACAAGUCAACAUCAAUUUCUUUUGCUGUAAAAAAGCUUGAGGAAGGUGGCUUGAGAUUCGUCUUAAGUGUUUAUAGCCUCUUGCCUAUGCAGUCGGAGAGAUUGAGGUCUGCAGCGUAGAUCCUUCGGGGCUAAAUGCAUUUGUGCUAAGUUAUAACAUUUUAUAGACAACCUGUUGACUAUGAUUUGUCUUGUAGCUUACUCGCUUAUGUUAUUUUACCUACGCUUAGGAUGUUGACAGCAGUAUAGACUGU
rnacentral:rRNA from 1 species